GCCUGGGUGGCACAGCGGUUGAGCGUCUGCCUUCAGCUCAGGGCGUGAUCCUUGCGUUAUGGGAUCGAGCCCCAUAUCAGGCU
rfam:Ailuropoda melanoleuca scaffold562_129, whole genome shotgun sequence.